GGUAACCUGCCUGUAAGACUGGGAUAACUCCGGGAAACCGGGGCUAAUACCGGAUGCUUGAUUGAACCGCAUGGUUCAAUUAUAAAAGGUGGCUUUUAGCUACCACUUACAGAUGGACCCGCGGCGCAUUAGCUAGUUGGUGAGGUAACGGCUCACCAAGGCGACGAUGCGUAGCCGACCUGAGAGGGUGAUCGGCCACACUGGGACUGAGACACGGCCCAGACUCCUACGGGAGGCAGCAGUAGGGAAUCUUCCGCAAUGGACGAAAGUCUGACGGAGCAACGCCGCGUGAGUGAUGAAGGUUUUCGGAUCGUAAAACUCUGUUGUUAGGGAAGAACAAGUACCGUUCGAAUAGGGCGGUACCUUGACGGUACCUAACCAGAAAGCCACGGCUAACUACGUGCCAGCAGCCGCGGUAAUACGUAGGUGGCAAGCGUUGUCCGGAAUUAUUGGGCGUAAAGCGCGCGCAG
rnacentral:rRNA from 1 species